CUCAGUACGAACUGAAUUUAAAGUGAAACCGCAAAAAGCUCAUUAAAUCAGUUAUGGUUCACUUGAGCUGAUCAAUCUAUGGAUAACUGUGGUAAUUCUAGAGCUUAUACAUGCAAACAAGUCCCGUCCAGCGAUGGAAAGGACGCUUUUAUUAGAUCAAAACCCAUCGGGCCUCGGUCCGUUGUUUUGGUGACUCUGGAUAACACUGCAGAUCGCAUGGUCUUUGUACCGGCGACCUAUCUUUCAAAUGCCUGACUUAUCAACUGUCGAUGGUAUAUUCUGUGUGUACCAUGGUUGUAACGGGUAACGGAGAAUCAGGGUUCGAUUCCGGAGAGGGAGCCUGAGAAACAGCUACCACAUCCAAGGAAGGCAGCAUGCACGCAAAUUACCCACUCCCGGCACGGGGAGGUAGUGACAAAAAAUAACGAUACGGGACUCAUCCGAGGCCCCGUAAUCGGAAUGAGUACACUUUAAACCCUUUAACCAGGAUCUAUUGGAGGGCAAGUCUGGUGCCAGCCGCCGCGGUAACUCCAGCUCCAAUAGCGUAUAUUAAAGUUGUUGCGGUUAAAAAGCUCGUAGUUGGUUUUGUGUCCCACGCUGUUGGUUCACUGCCUGUCGGUGCAACUGGCAUGUCGUGGGAUGUCCUGUCGGUGGCGUCCGGGGUCUUCGGACAAGUGCCCUCGGGUGCUUUCCGUCGUUCUUCCGGUCGCCGACUCAAUCCUGCCGCGGUGCUCUUCACUGAGUGUCGAGGUAGGCCGACACGUUUACUUUGAACAAAUUAGAGUGCUUAAAGCAGGCUGAAUCCUGCCAGAAUAGUGGUGCAUGGAAUAAUAGAACAGGACCUUGGUUCUAUUUUGUUGGUUUUCGGAAUCCAAGGUAAUGAUCAAUAUGGACAGAUCGGGGGCA
rnacentral:rRNA from 1 species